rnacentral:rRNA from 1 species
UACGAAGGGGGCUAGCGUUGUUCGGAUUUACUGGGCGUAAAGCGCGUGUAGGCGGGUCGUUAAGUUGGGGGUGAAAUCCCGAGGCUCAACCUCGGAACUGCCUUCAAAACUGGCGCCUGGACUCAAGUAGAGGCAAGUGGAAUUGCGAGUGGUAGAGGUGAAAUUCGUAGAUAUUCGCAGGAACACCAGUGGCGAAGGCGACUGCUGGACUUGUAGUGACGCUGAGACGGCGAAAGCGUGGGGAGCAAACAGGGAU